rnacentral:rRNA from 1 species
GAUGAACGCUAGCGGCAGGCCUAAUACAUGCAAGUCAAGGGGUUCAGCAAUGGACACCGGCGGACGGGUGCGUAACGCGUACACAACGUACCUCAGAGCGGGGGAUAGCAUCGGGAAACUGGUGGUAAUACCCCAUGGUGUUGGAGAAUGGCAUCAUUUUUCAACUAAAGGUUACACUCUGAGAUCGGUGUGCGUCUGAUUAGCUAGUUGGCGGGGUAACGGCCCACCAAGGCGACGAUCAGUAGGGGGGUGUGAGAGCAUGACCCCCCCACAUGGGUACUGAGACACGGACCCAACUCCUACGGGAGGCAGCAGUAAGGAAUAUUGGACAAUGGGCGCAAGCCUGAUCCAGCCAUGCCGCGUGAAGGAUGAGGGCGCUCAGCGUUGUAAACUUCUUUUGGACGGGAACAAUACCCCAGAUGCGUCUGGGCUUGAGGGUACCGUCAGAAUAAGCACCGGCUAACUCCGUG